AGUGAACGCUGGCGGUGGGCCUAACACAUGCAAGUCGAACGGCAGCACAGUAAGAGCUUGCUCCUACGGGUGGCGAGUGGCGGACGGGUGAGGAAUACAUCGGAAUCUACUUUUUCGUGGGGGAUAACGUAGGGAAACUUACGCUAAUACCGCAUACGACCUACGGGUGAAAGCAGGGGAUCUUCGGACCUUGCGCGAUUGAAUGAGCCGAUGUCGGAUUAGCUAGUUGGCGGGGUAAAGGCCCACCAAGGCGACGAUCCGUAGCUGGUCUGAGAGGAUGAUCAGCCACACUGGAACUGAGACACGGUCCCGACUCCUACGGGAGGCAGCAGUGGGGAAUAUUGGACAAUGGGCGCAAGCCUGAUCCAGCCAUACCGCGUGGGUGAAGAAGGCCUUCGGGUUGUAAAGCCCUUUUGUUGGGAAAGAAAAGCAGCAGGUUAAUACCCCGCUGUUCUGACGGUACCCAAAGAAUAAGCACCGGCUAACUUCGUG
rnacentral:rRNA from 1 species